AGGAAGGAACGUUGAAGACGACGACGUUGAUAGGCCGGGUGUGUAAGCGCAGCGAUGCGUUGAGCUAACCGGUACUAAUGAACCGUGAGGCUUAACCUU
rnacentral:rRNA from 1 species